AUACUUACCUGGUGGGGAAGACAUUAUGAUCUUGAAGAUAGAGGCAAAAAAAAAAAAAAAAAAAGUUUUUCCAGGGUGAGGUUCAUCCCUUGCACUCUGGCUGUGCUGAUUCCUGUGAUUUCCCUGCACGCAGGAAACUUGACUGUAGAAUUUGUGGUAGUGGGGGGCUGCGUCUGCAAUCUCCCG
rnacentral:snRNA from 1 species